rnacentral:rRNA from 1 species
CCAUUAAUACUGUCAUUCUUGAGUAUAGUUGAAGUGGGCGGAAUGUAUCAUGUAGCGGUGAAAUGCUCAGAUAUGAUACAGAACACCGAUAGCGUAGGCAGCUUGCUAAACUAUAACUGACGCUCAGGCACGAAAGCGUGGGGAGCAAACAGGAUUAGAUACCCUGGUAGUCCACGCCGUAAACGAUGAUCACUCGCUGUUGGCGAUACACAGUCAGCGGCUUAGGGAAACCAUUAAGUGAUCCACCUGGGGAGUACGGUCGCAAGAUUGAAACUCAAAGGAAUUGACGGGGGCCCGCACAAGCGGAGGAGCAUGUGGUUUAAUUCGAUGAUACGCGAGGAACCUUACCUGGGCUUAAAUGUUGGAUGCCAAUCCCCGAAAGGGGACUUUCCCUCGGGACGUCCAGCAAGGUGCUGCAUGGUUGUCGUCAGCUCGUGCCGUGAGGUGUCGGGUUAAGUCCCAUAACGAGCGCAACCCCUAUCCUUAGUUGCCAUCAGGUAAUGCUGGGGACUCUAAGGAAACUGCCUACGCAAGUAGCGAGGAAGGUGGGGAUGACGUCAAAUCAGCACGGCCCUUAUGUCCAGGGCUACACACGUGCUACAAUGGCCGGUACAGAGGGCAGCUACCUGGUGACAGGAUGCUAAUCUCGAAAACCGGUCUCAGUUCGGAUCGAAGUCUGCAACUCGACUUCGUGAAGUCGGAUUCGCUAGUAAUCGCACAUCAGCCAUGGCGCGGUGAAUA